rnacentral:rRNA from 1 species
AUGAACGCUGGCGGCGUGCCUAAUACAUGCAAGUCGAACGCUUCACUUCGGUGAAGAGUGGCGAACGGGUGAGUAAUACAUAAGUAACCUGGCAUCUACAGGGGGAUAACUGAUGGAAACGUCAGCUAAGACCGCAUAGGUGUAGAGAUCGCAUGAACUCUAUAUGAAAAGUGCUACGGGACUGGUAGAUGAUGGACUUAUGGCGCAUUAGCUUGUUGGUAGGGUAACGGCCUACCAAGGCGACGAUGCGUAGCCGACCUGAGAGGGUGACCGGCCACACUGGGACUGAGACACGGCCCAGACUCCUACGGGAGGCAGCAGUAGGGAAUUUUCGGCAAUGGGGGAAACCCUGACCGAGCAACGCCGCGUGAAGGAAGAAGUAAUUCGUUAUGUAAACUUCUGUCAUAGAGGAAGAACGGUGGAUAUAGGGAAUGAUAUCCAAGUGACGGUACUCUAUAAGAAAGCCACGGCUAACUACGUGCCAGCAGCCGCGGUAAUACGUAGGUGGCGAGCGUUAUCCGGAAUUAUUGGGCGUAAAGAGGGAGCAGGCGGCACUAAGGGUCUGUGGUGAAAGAUCGAAGCUUAACUUCGGUAAGCCAUGGAAACCGUAGAGCUAGAGUGUGUGAGAGGAUCGUGGAAUUCCAUGUGUAGCGGUGAAAUGCGUAGAUAUAUGGAGGAACACCAGUGGCGAAGGCGACGAUCUGGCGCAUAACUGACGCUCAGUCCCGAAAGCGUGGGGAGCAAAUAGGAUUAGAUACCCUAGUAGUCCACGCCGUAAACGAUGAGUACUAAGUGUUGGGUGUCAAAGCUCAGUGCUGCAGUUAACGCAAUAAGUACUCCGCCUGAGU